CUUCAGUCAUACGAGACCGUACCGCAAACCGACACAGGUGGGCGAGAUGAGUAUUCUAAGGCGCUUGAGAGAACUCGGGAGAAGGAACUCGGCAAAUUGGUACCGUAACUUCGGGAAAAGGUACGCCCUUGUAGCUUGGCUGAUUUACUUCAGUAGGGCGAACGGGUUGCAAUAAACUGGUGGCUGCGACUGUUUAAUAAAAAACACAGCACUCUGCAAACACGAAAGUGGACGUAUAGGGUGUGACGCCUGCCCGGUGCUGGAAGAUUAAAUGAUGGGGUGCAAGCUCUUGAUUGAAGUCCCAGUAAACGGCGGCCGAACCAUAACGGUCCUAAGGUAGCGAAAUUCCUUGUCGGGUAAGUUCCGACCUGCACGAAUGGCGUAACGAUGGCCACACUGUCUCCUCCCGAGACUCAGCGAAGUUGAAGUGUUUGUGAUGAUGCAAUCUACCCGCGGCUAGACGGAAAUACCCCAUGAACCUUUACUGUAGCUUUGCAUUGGACUUUGAAUCAAUCUGUGUAGGAUAGGUGGGAGGCUUUGAAGCGGGGACGCCAGUUCUCGUGGAGCCAACCUUGAAAUACCACCCUGGUUCAUUUGAGGUUCUAACCUUGGCCCGUUAUCCGGGUCGGGGACAGUGCAUGGUAGGCAGUUUGACUGGGGCGGUCUCCUCCUAAAGUGUAACGGAGGAGUUCGAAGGUACGCUAGGUACGGUCGGACAUCGUGCUAAUAGUGCAAUGGCAUAAGCGUGCUUAACUGCGAGGCUGACAAGUCGAGCAGGUACGAAGGUAGGACAUAGUGAUCCGGUGGUUCUGUAUGGAAGGGCCAUCGCUCAACGGAUAAAAGGUACUCUGGGGAUAACAGGCUGAUUCCUCCCAAGAGUUCAUAUCGACGGGGGAGUUUGGCACCUCGAUGUCGGCUCAUCACAUCCUGGGGCUGUAGCCGGUCCCAAGGGUAUGGCUGUUCGCCAUUAAAAGUGGUACGUGAGCUGGGUUUAAAACGUCGUGAGACAGUUUGGUCCCUAUCUGCCGUGGGCGUUGGAAAUUUGAAGGGGGCUGCUCCUAGUACGAGAGGACCGGAGUGGACAGACCUCUGGUGUACCGGUUGUCACGCCAGUGGCAUUGCCGGGUAGCUAAGUCUGGGAGAGAUAACCGCUGAAAGCAUCUAAGCGGGAAACUUGCCUUAAGAUGAGAUUUCCCAGAGCCUUGAGCUCUUUGAAGGGUCGUUCGAGACCAGGACGUUGAUAGGUCAGGUGUGGAAGC
rnacentral:rRNA from 1 species